AGGUGUGAAGGCCAGGAGGAUUGUGGGAAGGAGGAGGAACUGCUAUAUGGCUGCUGCUACUGCCGCUGACACAGGGAACAAUCCCAGCUACGGUGGCUGCUGUAGGACAAGUAUGUUGCCCCACAUACAUAAAACUUUGUGAAAGGAUACAAUGCAGUGUUUUGUGUAUGUGGCUGGUCUCUAGCCUGGACGCAAACUUGGUAUGGGUCCACCACCAAAGAGUACACCCUGCAUAUGCUCUUCCUUCUCUGCCACAGAGGUCUUAACAGGAAAGUCAAGCUUCAGUAAAAUCGCUGGAUAGCGGCCAGUGCACCAUCACCCUCUCCCGAUGUGACAGCGUGUUUGUUUGAUGACGUAUUUGUUCUAGAACUCAUCAGCACUGCUGUUUUAUUUUAAUGGCAAGUCCUUAACCCGAAUGAUUGAUUCUAA